UACGUAGGGUGCGAGCGUUGUCCGGAAUUAUUGGGCGUAAAGAGCUCGUAGGCGGUGUGUCACGUCGUUCGUGAAAACCUGCAGCUUAACUGUGGGCGUGCGGUCGAUACGGGCAUCACUGGAGUUCGGCAGGGGAGACUGGAAUUCCUGGUGUAGCGGUGAAAUGCGCAGAUAUCAGGAGGAACACCGGUGGCGAAGGCGGGUCUCUGGACCGUAACUGACGCUGAGGCAUGAAAGCGUGGGUAGCAAACAGG
rnacentral:rRNA from 1 species